CGGGAUUUCCUGUUUCGCGCGCUUUCAUUGAUUGUAUUUCAUGAUGUACGAGAAAGACGCCAUAGUUAUAUUGCUCCUAGCUAAAAGACUUAUUACGAAGAUUCAGUGACAACUACAUAUUUACAGUGAGUUUAUAAGAUAAAAAGGAACAUUUACUGUGGCAACAUCCAAAUUGAAUUGUUGGGACAAUAAUGAAAUUGAGAAUGGAAAUGGGGAAUGUGUCAAAGAGGCAACAAGUUGAACAACCCAACCAUAGAACAGGCAACAGUAGAUGUUUAUUAUUUAGACAUGGCAAAAAGUUGUCUUUUUGGGAAUAAUUUUAAACCAUUUUUUUUUCAAUUUGGGAAUUUCUCCAGGGGAAAAAGCCUGUAUUCUCCACUAAUUUAAGGCAAAC
rnacentral:lncRNA from 1 species